rnacentral:lncRNA from 1 species
GGACCAAUUACUCAAGACAAAGCUGCAUGGUUAAGUUUAUUAUUUAUAUUUAUUGUUUAUAAGAUUAUUUUUAAUGUACAGGUUGGCAAGAAAUCAGCUCCCUCAAAUACCUCUGCACUAAACUAUCCAGUCUAGCCACAUCCUGAUAGAACAAAUAUGAAGAGUCUAAAAUAAAUGUAAUUUUUGACACUGAACGCAUCUGCGGAAUGGCAUUUCUUUGGGCCAGCAAUUCAGGAGCAGUUUCUGUUCCUCCUCCCCUCAUACACACUUCUUGGGGGCAGCAGGAAAAGCAGAAACAGUUGCUGUGAAACUUGAGAGAAUAUGGAUGGCACUCCUAAAUUAAAAUGAUGUUAUUCCCUUCGCAGGCUGUGCAAGGUGCUGUUCAACCUGGUGAAUUCUUGAAGGCAACGCUCAAUCCUCUCUCCAUGCUGAAUAAGGUCAGCCACAUUUCAUGGGACAAGAAUUGUUCCUUCCACACCAGUAGAGUGUUCGACUUGGCCAAAACCUCUGAUCACUACAAAAACAUUAAUGUAAGUGUUGCUUGCAGCUCGUUUGCUUGGAUUUGAAACCCAAGGCUUUGUUGUAGGCACUUCUGUGUUCCUCCCAACAGUCAGGAGAGGUGGGUGACUCAGCGUUCCUCCCAGACAGACUAUGGUCAGCCCCUUUCCAGAAAUAACCAGGAGUAAAUGACUUCUAGUUUUAGUUCCUGAAAUUUAAAAAACAUUUAUGAGGCUUUUACAGUGUGCUAUUUCAAAGAAACCUCUAUAAUUAUACAACAUUUUCCGGACAAUGGAGCAAAAGAAAAAAGUAAUCUUUUUCUCACCAUGAGAUUCAACAUUUUGUUGUUUCCAAUGCCAUUUCUAGCAAUGACUGAAGGAAGAUAAUUUUGGAGGUAAUUCACAUUUCAUUACCACUUUCUCACAGAUUUACUGGCCAGGAGAAGAGUGACUUAGAGAAACCAAGAAAACACAAAGUUGUUGUUUGACUCCUAUCUCACAGAAAUUCCAUUUGUUCCCUCAACUGAUUCAAAUCUCACUUUCCAUUUGUAUUUGAUUUUGUCCCACACCUCUGUCACCCUUCAGACCCAUUCCCUUUUGGUUUAUCUCAUGCCAGUGGUGUCACACCCAGUCCUACAGGACAUUUGGUCAGGCCAUGAGAUAUUCCCCUAAGGACAGGGGUUUAAUUGAAUUUUGUUGCCUAAAUCAUCCCUCUCAUGGCUGGGUGCAUGGGAAGAGCUGAUGAUAAAUUUCUCUGUCCUCAGCUCUCUUGAAAACUGCUCAGUCACCACUGAAGAUCUGCUGUGGUGUCACAGGGGAGGUGAUCAGGUGUCCUGCACAUUUUACCAGUCACAACUCCCUUUUCCAUUGGAGAUCAUUCCUUUUAUUGGUGUGUAAAAUCAAAGGAAUGAUCUCCUAUGGAGGAGCACAUCAGCAGCACAUCAUUUUACAUCCUCACCCAAAAGAGAAGGCAGCAAACACACCCUUGUUUCCAAUUUUGGCCCAAAAAUAAAUGGUACCCACAGCAAUGGCA